GCCUGGCUGGCUCAGUUGAUACAGCAUGAGACUCUUGAUCUCGGGUCAUAAGUUCAAUCCCAUGUUGGGUG
rnacentral:tRNA from 1 species